GACGAACGCUGGCGGCGUGCCUAAUACAUGCAAGUAGGACGCAGUUGCGAACGGGUGAGUAACGCGUAGGUAACUGCCUCUUAGAGGGGGCUAACUAUUGGAAACGAUAGCGAAUACCGCAUACUAGUAGAUGGACCUGCGUUGUAUUAGCUAGUAGGUAGUGUAAUGGCCUACCUAGGGGACGCUACAUAGCCGCACGGUGAGGGUGAUCGGUCACACUGUGAGUGAUACAAGGCCCAGACCCCUACGGGAGGCAGCAGUAGGGAAGCUUAGGCAAUGGGGGGAACACUGACCGAGCAACGCCGCGGGAGUGAGGAAGGUUUGCGGAUAGUAAAGCGCUGUUGUUAAGGAAGCGGUACGUAACCAGAAAGGGACGGCUAACUACGUGCCAGCAGCGGCGGUAAUUC
rnacentral:rRNA from 1 species